CGCCUGCCUUGCCCGGUCCGCCCUGUCUUCCAGCAGGGCGGGGCCCGGCUCCGGUUGUUCCGCCACGUUUGAGCGGGCGAGCCCGGCGGCCGGGAGACGCCAGGGAACGGGGCUGGUGGGGGUACAAAGGCUCGGUUCCGUCGCCUUCAGCCCUGCGGUGGGGGCACGGGGCAAGUGAGGGGACGGCAGAGGCGGCGUUCGGUGUGAGGCUGCGCCCUGGGCUCCUGAAAAUCCAGGGCUGCAGUCAUUUGAAGGCUUGACUGGGGCUGGAGGAUUUUCAUCCAAGAUGGCUCACUCACCCAGCUGUUGGCAGGAGACCUCGGUUCUUUGACUUCUCCGUAAGACUGUACGGAGUCUCACUCUGUUGCCAGGCUGGAGUGCAGUGGCACGAUCUCGGCUCACCACAACCUCUGCCACCUGGGUUCAAGCGAUUCUCCUGCCUCAGCCUCCUGAGUAGCUGGGAUUACAGGCAAGUGCCACCACGCCCAGCUAAUUUUUGUAUUUUUAGUAGAGACAGGAAUUCACCAUGUUGGCCAGGAUGGUCUUGAUCUCCUGACUUCGUGAUCCACCUGCCUCGGCCUCCCAAAGUGCUGGGAUUACAGGCAUGAGCCACUACACCCAGCUGAGCAUUUGACAUUAUUAACUAGCGCCUGGUUCUUUCUCCUGGGACUCCUAUUUUUCUGACUAUUUCUUCUCAUUUCCUUUGCUUAUACUUUUCCUUUGUGUACCUCUUAAACCCUGGUGUUUUCUGGCAUCUGAUCUCAGAAUUCUUCUCUCUCAUCUUUCUACACUCUCUCUAGUAGGUCUCCUUCACUUUGACCACUGUAAUUCCCACCCAAACACAAUGACUCUGCAUCUUUAUCGCUCACUUAGGCCACACCCCUGAGCUGUAGACAUGUAUCAUCAGCUCCCUUCUGGAUGUUCUUGCAUGACUCAAAUGGAACUUCACACGUUUCCCCCUCAGAACAGCUCUGCCUUCUGUGUUUCUGACAUUGGUGAAUAAUUAGUGUCGUCAUCUACCUAGGCACAGAUGCCAGAGACCUGGCUGUCGGCCUCCACUUCUCCCUCUCUUUACUGCCUCAUCCAGUCACCAAAGCCUUUGAGCCUACAGUGUUACGGACAUGUGCCAUUUUCUCCAUCCCUGGCAGCUGCGGUGCAGCCAUAUGACACGUAUUUGGCCAAUUGGUUGCUCACUUUGGAUUUUAAAUUUGGUUUCCCUUCUUCUAUCCAUGGCCUUUCAGUUUCGUUUCCAAAGAAUGCUUUUUAAAAAAUAUUAGUCAGGCCAGGCAUAGUGGCUCAUGCCUAUCAUCCCAACACUUGGGGAGGCAGAAGCCAAGGGAUCACUUGAGGCCAGGAAUUUGAGACCAGCGUGGGCAAGAUAGCAAGACCCUAUCUCUACAAAUUAAAAAAAAAAUUAGCCAUGUUUGGUGGUUCACACUUGUAGUUCCAGCUACUUGGAAAGCUGAGGCAGGAGGAUUGCUUAACCAGGAGUAUGAGGCUGCAGUGAGAUUAUACCACUGUGCUCCAGCCUGGGCAGCAGAGUGAGACCUUGUCUCUUAAAAAAAAAAAGUUAGAUCAUGUCACUCCCUGCUCAACAUUGUCUAAUAACUUUCCAUCAUAUUUAGUAUCAAAUUCAAAGUCAUGAUUGGUUGCCCGGAACAAUAAUGUUCUACAUGAUCAACUCGUAGCUCACUCUCCAUGUUCACUUCUGCCAUUUUCCUAUUGCUCAACUGCUCUCUAGCCCCCAUGUUGUGCCUACAGCCUGCCAAGCACACUCUGGACUCAGACAGCUGUUCCUUUUGCCUGACAUGUUCUUCUCACUGAUUUUUUUUUUUUUUUUUUUUUUUUUUUGAGACAGGAUCUCCCUCUGUCACCCAGGCUGGAGUACAGUGGUGCCAUCUCAGCUUACUGCAGCCUCAACCUCCUGGGGUCUAAGUGAUUCUCUCACUUCAGCCUCCUAAAUAGCUGUAACUACAGGCAUGCACUACCCCCAGCCCUGGCUACUUUUUUAAAAUUAUUAGUAGAGACGUAGUCUCCCUGUGUUGCCUGGGCUGGUCUCUAACCCCUGAGCUCAAGUGAUCCUCCCACCUUGGCCUCCCAAAGUGCUGGGAUUACAGGCAUGAGCCACCGCGCCUGGCCCUUCUCACUGCCUCUUACGUGAUUCACUCUCUUACUGCAGGUCUUCACUCAAAUGAGAGAGAGACUUUCUAUGACCAUCCUACUGAGUAAAAUAGCCACCACUCUCCCAAGUCAUUCUCUGAUCCGUACCCUACUUCAUUAUUGUUCAAAGCACUUCCCACGGUCCAAUGUUGUAUUGUUUACUCAUUUGCUUACUGGUCUAUUUUCUACCUCUCUGACUAGAAUGUAAACUCCACAGUGGCCAUGGGACAUGCCAGCAACACCUCCUUGUCAUCUAACGAUCAAAAUCAUGCAAUGCAUUGAUACCCCCUUGCGGGAAAGGUGCAGUGCAACCUCCAAAUGAGAACCAGUGCUAGAAGUGAACUGGACACAUAGGAAAUUGUGGUUAGAGAUGCAGAUGCUCCCUUUUUAAUUAUUAUUAUUAUUUGUAGAGAUGGGGUCCUGCUGUGUUGCCAAGGCUGGUCUCUAACUCCUAGGCUCAAGAGAUCCUCCCGCCUCAGACUCCCAAAGUGUUAGGAUUACAGGCAUGAGCCACCAUACCCGGCCUCAUUUUUAUUGACCUGAUUUCCGUCAUAGCCUGCAAGAUGCUUUGUUUUGAUUGUUUAUUUUCACUUCUGCCUCCUUCGGUAAACCUGUGAGUGUCCUGAGUGGGGGUCAAGAUUUGUUUGAGUGUAUGAUCUAAUCUGAAUACACACGUGUGUGUGCAUGUGUGUAUUUUUCUCCCUGUUGGAUUGCUCAGCCUCCACAGCCUGUUCUUCUCCACUGUGAUACACCAGGUGUCCUUCAGCAGGUGUAGUGAAACAAAGCAGAGGCUUUGACGUCACCCACGCUGGCCCUCGUGUGACUCACGGCCCAGCCCUGAGCCAGAAUCUGCUCCUGUUAUUACGGGUAUGAUUGUCUCCAUUUUACAAAUGAAGAUAUGGAGGCUCAUAUUCUUCAUCUGCAACUCAUUGAUGGAUAACCAGGUAGCCCUUGCAACCUAACGUUUGCUGUUGCCUCCAUUACAAAAACCUCUAUGCUCAGCCCUCAGUCAUGAUUUUAGAGAGGGCUCCUCAGGUAUCAAGAGAAAAUGCUGACCGACAGUGUCAUUAUUUCAGGUCGAGGUGACUGAUAGCCCUGCAGUCCUCUCUUCUCUCUAUGCUGAGGGAGAAUGACCUUUGAUUUGUGGCACUCACAGGGGCUGGCAAGGCCUGCAGUCAUUUGCAGCUGAUUCUGCUGCUUUGUGUCAUGAGACAUUAAGUGACCUGCUUGGAUUCACUGAACUAAUUAGUGGCAUAGCUGGGAUUGGAACUCAAUAUUCCCUUCUCCAAAUGAUGGGGUUCCCUCUGUGCUUGGUGUCUUCUUGACUUCUAAUGUGUCUGAAAUGCAUAAUUGUUAGAACCCUGGGCCCCUGUAACCUUCACCGGUCAACUCUCAUCACCCCAAGCACCCUGAUGGAUUCGCGGAGCACAGAGGACAAUCCCAGCAAACGUGUUUAUCAUCAAUGAGGGCUUUUGUUGCCGUCUCUUGUACCUUGGUGACUUGGGAUAGAGCACACAUAAACCUCCAGGAUUAUUUUUCACCCUUUUAGUUUAAGGACUAGGAUGAAUGAACAACUCUUGGCCUAUUUUGUUAACCUUAACUCACACCUACUUUUUGCCCUGUGACCGAGGCAUGAAAAUACGUGUUUUUUUCCUUUAGGCCUAGAACAAAGCUGCCACCUUCCCCCACAGUGGUGUUUUUUAAAUGCUUGGUUAUGACCAAUUAGAGGAUUGUAAAAUCAGUGUAGUGGGGUGACGAGCAUUAAAAAAUAGAACAGGAUAUAAAAUAAAAAAGUAGUAGUAGAGUACUGUUCUGUGAAAUCUUUUAUCAGUCAUGUGUGCAUAUGAAUGAAUGUGUACAUGUGUAUGUGUAUAUGUGUGCAUGUGCAUGUGAUCACAAUUUAAAAUGUAUUUCUCAUUAUACUUUGGGGUAAAAUAAUAGGUGUUUUCAACUUGCAGGUGAUAAUUAUGAUUUGGCAGAAUGUAUCCGAAUGUCAUACCACUCCAGGUAGAUUAGAGUCUCUGGAGGGAGGGGCUAGGUCAGAUGAUUCCUUUUGCUUCCCAGCCUUCUAAAACGAAACACCUUCCAAGGCAGGCAAUAAGGGGAUCUCUCUGCUCCUCAUGUGUUUGGAGACCUCUGCUUUUUCCUGCUCUGUGCAUAGCCUUGCAAAGGCUCUGCGUUUCUGUGUUCCAUGCUGCUCACAGAUUGCAUCUUCAGCCUUCCCAGAAUGAACUUGAACUGCUCCCUCCUGUGCCCACACUUCCUGAGAAGUGCAGCUACUGAAAACCCACCCUGAAGACCGGCAACCUUGCUUGGGACAUUGCUGAAGAGUUGAACUAAGCGCAGGGCUGUGUGGGACCAAACCUAUCUAUUCCCCACCGCCAAAAUCUCACCCCUUUCUCAUGCCAGCACUGAGGAAAACUGUUUUGGGGAAAAGUGAGAUCUGCUUUUACAGCGGCUGACUAU
rnacentral:lncRNA from 10 species